CAGGCGUAAAAACCUGGUUUGACUAAAAGAUUCGAUUUACGGUAAAUGAUUUGUACAUAAAAACUAUAAAUGUUAUAAUUUUUAUUUUUGUUCACACUUUCAUUUAUUUAUUUUUGUAGUUAAUCUUUUGUAUCAUUAUUAGUUUCCAUGUUGUAUUAAGAAAAGCGAGUGAAAAGGCCAUGUAACGUCACUUGGCUUAAACAAGCAGAGUUCAUGUACACAUGCAGCAGCCAAUGAGGUGUCACGUUCAGUCACUGUGUCUGCGCGCUGCUUGUCUGCUUCCUUUUUCGUCGGAAGCCGAGCACAGAGACACCACACAAGAGUUCCUUGAAAAAAAAACGUAAUAAGUACGGGAGUUAAGUGAAACGUUCUGCUGUUGUCUGUGGUGGUGCGACUUGGGAGUAGUCCAGUGCCACUUUGGACUAUAGAGAACAAGUGCUGGAACGGUGGCAGCGGACAAGCCUUUUGACCGCGCUGGGAUUGAACGGUGACAUCACACUCUGGAAGUGUAUAUGCAAAUCGGUGAGAGAUUUUGGCUGCUGACAUGUUGAUUGUUAUUGUUUAAUAUAGCAAGGUAAUUGGAAUGGUCAAUUUAAAUGGUAAAGAAAGCAACUUAUUAACCCAAAUAAAUGCUAUUGUUUUAAGUUAUAGAUUUUAAUUAUUUUUUUGUUAAAUGUGUACCAAAUGUGACAUUUAAUUAUUUAAAUGCUGACUAAUCAGUUGAUUUAUUUUAUUUUUGUAUUAUAAGAGUAUAUUAAGGAAAUGUUCUGUUGAGGUGAAAUAACCACACAGUUAUUUUCUGAUAGAUACUGUGCAACUGUGCCUUACCAGUGUUGUUUGAACUGAAAGAGUUCUCAGUUGUAUCAUUAGGUAAACUGUUUGCAUAGUAAAGCUAAAGAGAAUCGAAGAAAACUGAAAACUAAAAGUCAUGACUUAAACUAGAGACUUAAGCCUGUUUUGUAAAUGCAGGUCAGGUCUUUUGAUGUAUGGUAAAGAGCCAUGGAGAAGAAUCUGUAAGAUGGCGAGCCAACCCAAUUGAGCCGUGGAACCAGAAUCUACACACACUCGUAGAGAGCAGAUGGAUUAUCUGCUGUGGUAGGACUGUCCCAAGCAACCUGCAUGGAUAUUUGAACUGAGAAAUAGGAUUAAGGAGUGCACUCCAUUAGACAGACUCAGUUACCAAUAAAGGAGGACAAAGCCCUAGGGGUAAACGAAGACAUUGGGGAUUUAAAGGUGCCUUUCUGUUUAUAAUUUUCUUGUAUGCCAAUAUAUGUUAUUACCUUUUAUGUCGACAAGUUUUCUACUAAACUACAUUUCAUAUUUGCAA